GAUGAACGCUGGCGGCGUGCCUAAUACAUGCAAGUCGAGCGAAUGGAUUAAGAGCUUGCUCUUAUGUAGUUAGCGGCGGACGGGUGAGUAACACGUGGGUAACCUGCCCAUAAGACUGGGAUAACUCCGGGAAACCGGGGCUAAUACCGGAUAACAUUUUGAACCGCAUGGUUCGAAAUUGAAAGGCGGCUUCGCCUGUCACUUAUGGAUGGACCCGCGUCGCAUUAGCUAGUUGGUGAGGUAACGGCUCACCAAGGCAACGAUGCGUAGCCGACCUGAGAGGGUGAUCGGCCACACUGGGACUGAGACACGGCCCAGACUCCUACGGGAGGCAGCAGUAGGGAAUCUUCCGCAAUGGACGAAAGUCUGACGGAGCAACGCCGCGUGAGUGAUGAAGGCUUUCGGGUCGUAAAACUCUGUUGUUAGGGAAGAACAAGUGCUAGUUGAAUAAGCUGGCACCUUGACGGUACCUAACCAGAAAGCCACGGCUAACUACGUGCCAGCCGCCGCGGUAA
rnacentral:rRNA from 1 species